GUGGGGAAUAUUGGACAAUGGGCGCAAGCCUGAUCCAGCCAUGCCGCGUGAGUGAUGAAGGCCUUAGGGUUGUAAAGCUCUUUCAGUAGGGAAGAUAAUGACGGUACCUACAGAAGAAGCCCCGGCUAACUUCGUGCCAGCAGCCGCGGUAAUACGAAGGGGGCUAGCGUUGUUCGGAUUUACUGGGCGUAAAGCGCACGUAGGCGGAAUGUUAAGUCAGAGGUGAAAUCCUGGAGCUCAACUCCAGAACUGCCUUUGAUACUGGCAAUCUCGAGUCCGGAAGAGGUGAGUGGAACUCCUAGUGUAGAGGUGGAAUUCGUAGAUAUUAGGAAGAACACCAGUGGCGAAGGCGGCUCACUGGUCCGGUACUGACGCUGAGGUGCGAAAGCGUGGGGAGCAAACAGGAUUAGAAACCCCGGUAGUCC
rnacentral:rRNA from 1 species